rfam:Picea glauca, whole genome shotgun sequence.
AUGUAUAUUCUUGCAUCAUAACGUUAAUGCACUGGAUCCCAUUAUAAUUUUGAAGUUAAGCAUGCUCAGGCUAGAGUAGUAUUGGGAUGGGUGAUCACCCAGGAAGUCCUAGUGUUUUACAUG